rnacentral:rRNA from 1 species
AUUUGAAAUCUGGUCUUCUGGGCCCGAGUUGUAAUUUGCAGAGGAUGCUUCUGGCAAGGUGCCUUCCGAGUUCCCUGGAACGGGACGCCAUAGAGGGUGAGAGCCCCGUACGGUUGGACACCGAGCCGUUGUGUAGCUCCUUCAACGAGUCGAGUAGUUUGGGAAUGCUGCUCUAAAUGGGAGGUAUAUCUCUUCUAAAGCUAAAUACCGGCCAGAGACCGAUAGCGCACAAGUAGAGUGAUCGAAAGAUGAAAAGCACUUUGAAAAGAGAGUUAAACAGCACGUGAAAUUGUUGAAAGGGAAGCGCUUGUGACCAGACUUGUGCCCGGUGAAUUAGCUGGUGUUCUCACCAGUCGACUUUGCCGGCUCAGGCCAGCAUCGGUUUGUUAUUGGGGAGAAAAACGAUGGGAAUGUGGCUCCUUCGGGAGUGUUAUAGCCCGCCGUAUAAUACCCUUUGGCAGACCGAGGACCGCGCAUCUGCAUGGAUGCUGGCGUAAUGGUCACCAGCGACCCGUCUUGAAACACGGACCAAGGAGUCAACCUUAUGUGCAAGUGUUUGGGUGUUAAACCCCUACGCGGAAUUAACGUGAACGUAGGUGAGAGCCUUCGGGCGCAUCAUCGACCGAUUCUGAUGUUCUCGGAUGGAUUUGAGUAAGAGCACACAGGGUUGGACCCGAAAGAAGGUGAACUAUGCUUGUAUAGGGUGAAGCCAGAGGAAACUCUGGUGGAGGCUCGCAGCGGUUCUGACGUGCAAAUCGAUCGUCAAAUAUGAGCAUGGGGGCGAAAGACUAAUCGAACCUUCUAGUAGCUGGUUCCAGCCGAAGUUUCCCUCAGGAUAGCAGUGUUGAUCUCUCAGUUUUAUGAGGUAAAGCGAAUGAUUAGGGACUCGGGGGCGCUAUUUAGCCUUCAUCCAUUCUCAAACUUUAAAUAUGUAAGAAGCCCUUGUUACUUAGCUGAACGUGGGCAUUCGAAUGUGCAACACUAGUGGGCCAUUUUUGGUAAGCAGAACUGGCGAUGCGGGAUGAACCGAUCGCGUGGAUAAGGCGCCGGAGUGGACGCUCAUCAGACACCACAAAAGGCGUUAGUACAUCUUGACAGCAGGACGGUGGCCAUGGAAGUCGGAAUCCGCUAAGGACUGUGUAACAACUCACCUGCCGAAUGUACUAGCCCUGAAAAUGGAUGGCGCUCAAGCGUCCCGCCCAUACCACGCCCUCGGGGCAGGAACGAUGCCCCGAGGAGUAGGC